CGGGUGCCCCCUGCUUCUGAAAUGACUAUAAAAGCUUUCCCCUGUGACUCACACUUUGAGAUCUCCCCACGGACAGAAGAUGGAUCCAUUGGCUGGAUGCCACGCCACGAGGACAUCCCUGCCAUUGGCAGAUGAGCCUGUCAGGCCUCUGCCCUGGAGGGAUGUCCCUUGAACAGAAUGUGAUAAGCUCAUCUCAACCUUCCCUCCCCGGGAGAGACAACCCUUAGCUAAAGGAUGUCAGCAGCUCAGAGCACACUUUUCCAUCAACAUUCUUCACUCCAAUGUCUGACAUCUCUGGUUCUGUCUGUGCCACACAUUUGCUACUCCAUAAGGUGAAGUAUCACUGCCCAGCAACCUCACACAUGAAGUGUAAAUGAAGUUGCAUUUUCUUGAGAUACCCCAGGAUGCAAAACAAACACGGCCACCACAGGUGGGAAACCAGGAUGUGGGAGCAGGGGAAAGACUUUCAUUUACUCAUCAUUUUUCAUCCCCACAUGGAGCUCAGCACCAGGGAAGCGCCCUGAAGGCUUCCCAGUAACUGCACUUCUGGGAGAAGGACUGAAAAAUGCCUCUAGGUGAGGUGAAAACACGGGUCCUGUCUUUUGUUGGAGUAUUUAAACUUUGGGUGAGAAAAGAGGGCACAAGAUUCUGGAAAUUAGACCAGGUGAGUGCAAGGAAAACACUCAGAUUCUGUCGCCUGCAUCAUCUGUUUUGUCCUCAUAAGAAACAACGCAUAUCCCUUCAUUAAAAGAUUAUUUUAAACCAAAAGACUAACUAUUAAUGGAGAAUAAUACUAGGAUAGAGAAUAUAUCUAUUAAUAAACUCAGCAGUCUGUUACAAGGUUUUCUACCUGAGCUCUGUUGGUAAAUGACUGCACAGAAGGAUCUUGGAGUUUAUUUUUUUUCCCUACUCCUUUUUUUUUUUUUAAUGCCAGGCCCCAGUGGAGGCACCUGGAAUAUUACAGUUAAAGGCAGCCACAAAAAUUUGAUUAUGUUUAAAAAAUCAUUGCUAUGCAGUAACAAGGUAAAUUUGGUCCAUAGAAAUAAUUUUCCUAGCAUUUAGGAAAUCUGUUGAUAGAGAAAACCACAAAAGAAUAAUCUGCAAGGUCUGUAAUUUUGAUGUUUUAUGGUAACUGAGGUAUGUGAAUAGAUAAAUUAUCUACUGAGACAUCAAAGACAGGUAUUUGUGAGUGGGCAGUGGCUUGGGAAAGAGGAAAGUGAUUAGUGGAGUGCCACGGGAGAUCAGUAUUGGGACCAAUUUUGUUCAUUUUAUAAGCCAGUGGUCUGGAAAAAAGAAAAGACCAUGCAGCCAAGGGAUAGCACACACUUUGGUUCCUGUGUUGGGAGGGAGUGGCAGGCCAUGAAAAGCAAGAGGUCACACAGCCAAAUUCAGAAAGAUUUAUCCAAGAUUUAGACAGAUAAGGAGCUAUCAUUUUAGUUGAGCGGAUGUAAAUUGUGUGGAAAGACUAAGGAAAAGAAGGGAAAUAACGCAUGAAAAUACUGCAGGAGGAUGUUGCUUCACUGGGCAGUGUGGGUUAAGGGAAAUAUUUGAAACAAUUUUAGUGAUUUUGAAUGAGUAUGAUUUGGUUUAUUUCACUUUUUCAGUGAGGAAGACAGCUGGUUUAAAUUCCAUAUAUUUAAAAGCUUAUGUGAAAACUAGAUUGAAAUGUUUUUCUAAAAUCCAAUAUCUUCAACUUUCAAGCUGAUUACUAGAGGGAGAGUCCUGGGCAUGGUUCUGUCACCUGUUGUCUCACACAAACCCUGGGACCAUGGAAAUAAGAUCAUGUUACAGACAAGGUCAGAAGGAAGGAAUGGCUCUAAAGGGUAUGUGUGAUGGAAAAUACUGGACUAUGAGUAAUUUUAGUCAAGAUUUCAGUUAAUUGACUAAAAACUAAAAAUUAAUCCCAUUUUUAAUUCAUUUCAAAAUUCCCCUGUUCUGUUUACCAAAGGGAUUAAGUAGGUUCCAGAACCCAAAAUGUGUUUACUUGAAUGUUAGCAGAAAUGGCAAUUGCCAAAAGAGCACAAAUGUCUCUCCAGCAAUUGUUCCAAUUAAAUAACAGAGCUGUCAUUAGAGAAUCAUUCAACUUUGAGAUUACAACAUUUCUUCAUGAAAUAUCAUCUACAAGCUACUGCUGGAAUAUUUUGGCUUAAGCUAUGGAAGAGUUUAAUAUAACUGAAAUUUAAUUUUAAAAAUAAGCUCUAAGCCAAGUACCCUACUAAGAAACUAUCAUGCUACUUGAGAUAAAACUAAACACUGCCUGAAAUAAGGACAAUUUCUACUGAAAUCUCUUCCUGAAAAUUGAGUAAUCUCAGUAGUUAUUUCAUGGUUUUCCAUUUUUUAAUGUUUUUCCCCAAAAGCUUCACUUCUAGUUUAGAAAGAGAUAUUUGUCUUGGGUAGCUCAUGGGUAGUGGAUUAUCUGCUCUUAUUAAGCUUUUGCCACCACAGAGUAACUUUGUCUCACUUACUCUGCCUUUAAUUUCUUUUCUAAUACAUCUAACAUUUGCACAAUUUGUCCAAAACACUUGAUUCAGCACAGGUAUUUUUUUUUAUUCACAAGCUUGAGGUGUAUAUUGUUGCCUGGAAAGAUUGCAUCCUGAUCCUCAUCGUAAGGAAAUUUAAACACAAUAAUUAAUCUCAUGCUUUGGAGGCUAUUUGAAAUUUGACCAUGAGAAUUACUGCUUAUUCAGUUGUGCUAAUUCCUUUUUAAAUCAGUAUGAAAAAAAGAAAUGCCUUAAUUAUUAGCAUAACUAAUGUUUUAGGAAAUGAGAAAAUGAUUAGCUCAGAGUUGCUUUAUGUUGCAUGUCUCUUGUAGUGAAUAAGCAAGAAUCCACAGAACUGAACAUGAGCAAAUGCAGUUGCCAUGAGCUGUGAGUUCCAGAGCUGAUGCUAAAAGCUCAACAAUUUACCUACUGAGUGCUGUUGAAUAUUGACUGGUGAUGAAGUCUCUCCCCCUGCAAGUUCCAAUGUCAGGAUGAGUCAUUUCAUCUUUGUCCAAAUAAUGGCGUGUUUUGUUUAAGGUGAUAUAUGGCUUCUGAGGCCAAUAAAUGCUUUUCCUGGUGGGUGGAUGGAUGUUUUAUGUGAGGCCAUGUAUUCCCUUUGAGUUGUGGUAUUAUCAAAGAAAACCAGAAAAGUGUGUAUUUUCCAAGGAGAUGUAUAAAGGUUUGUAAUUGUUUUCAUCUUUUUUUAUAUUUCUGCUUCACCUUUUGAGCACUAUAAACUGUGAUGGUCUUCUUUCAGCAAAGGCUGAAUGGAUCUGUUUCAUUUUUAAAGUGUUUUAUUUCUUAUUUCCUAUCAGAGCAGGGAAUCAAAUGGGGCUGUUAUGGAAUGUUUUUCCUGGUGGCAUUCAUUGCCUUUGAGCUCCUCAUGAGUGGGCUUGAGGAGUGAAGAAUCCUAAAAUACAGGUCCUAGUCCUGUAUGACUGAAGGCAGAGAACCCUGAUUACCCUGAUUAUGUGGGGGUUCAUUAGGGAACUCCUGGAAGAGGAAACUUAAAGCCAUGGAGUGUCUCUGGUUGAAACUCAUCAUGUCUUAAAAAUACAAUUUUGUACAGGUCCUUCCUAACUUGACCAACAUCUGGCAUCUUUAAUAUCUGCCUUUUCAAAGACAUUUACUCCAAGUUCACUCCUGUGCCUUUGGGAGUAGGAAACAACCUUCUGCACAUUCAUGGUCAUUUUAGGUCCUCACUAAAAUUCUAAGCACUUGUGCCAGCUUGGAGAGCAAGGAAUCUAUGGCCAGUUUGAGAAGGUGACCUUGGUUUUCUUUUCAACUUGUUCCUCUUAUGUUUUUGUUAUGUAUUUCCCAUUUAAGAUGAGGAAUAAAAAAGCUGUCUACCUGGAGGUACAGAUUCUCUUAAGAGUGUGACAGUAGGGGACAGGCAAUAAAAUACAGAAGUUCUUUGUGAGAGAGAUGUUCUGAGCUUUAAAAAAAACUGAAUACAUAUUGUAGUAAAGCACCCACACCCUAGCAGGUGUUUCCAUAUAGGGAAAGGUUUAUGACUCACCCCUUGCAUUUCUUACAAGGUAAAGGACCCAGAAACUUUGCUGUCCUGACAGUAAUUGGCUCAAUGCCAAGAUAAAAAACACUGAUGGGUCUCUUUGGCUGUUCCUCAGAAUGUAGCUAAAUUCUAAUUGGCAGCAAGCCAAAUUGUCCCUCCUGGAACAUUAAGUAUUUAAGAAAGAGCACAAAGGUACUCAGAGCUUUUUAGGGUGUUUUUAGCAAGGUGUCAGAGGUUUCUCUAACACCUAUGCUCAGCUUCCUCUUUUGUUUCUGCAACGUUUGUUAUUUUUCAUUUAUUAAACAUUUUGCUUUACAAAACACCUCUGGAGAGCUGUCUCGCUAUUAUUAAGCCAUUUUGAGAAAUACUGGACACCCUAAGAGACUUGAUCAAUCUUCACAUAGCUUAUUCCAUUCUGGCCAUGUGCAAAGAUUUUAUCAACAUAUCUUCAUAUGUCACGGUGCCCACUUAAGAGUCGACGGGCUCUGUCACCGGCUAGCCCAGACACGGCGACAGGCGUCGGCAAGGGUCAGCCUGCAAGCAGCGCAGGCAGGGCUGACUCCUGUGGGUUCUUUUCCUAAGGGACUCUUGUGAGCGAUGGAGAAACGACAGGCAGUGGAACGAAAGGAGGACACAAUUCUGAACGAACAGAGGGUUUAUUGGAAACACCUCCUCAGCCCAGAACUGUCCGGGGAGAGGAGGGUGCAGUGGGUUUUUGUCAGGGGCUAGCUGGGAGGGGGCAAAGGAAGUGGUCAGCCAUCGCUAGCCAACCAGGGCCAGUUGCUAGGGGACCCAGGGGUAGGAGAACAUAACAUGGACUAAUCAGGAGAGAGUAGGAGGGGGUUUACAAAGGCGGGAAAAAUAACAGACACUUAACCGAAUGUCGCAUAACAGGUGCAGGUGCAGACUGAAAUCAUGUGAGUGAGACAAAGGAAUAAUAAUUAGGGGGGGUAGGGUACAUAGAACCAGACGAGUACAAAAAUAUAUAAAGUAUAACCGAUUAAAUUAACACACUGCCACAUUCAUAAUGGACUGUCCAAGAAAUUAUAUGAAAGUGGCAGGAUUUUGCUGCAAUUUCUUUAAGUUUUCUAUGUUUGCCUUGGUAAUCUAAGUCAUUUGAGGUGUUACAUAUGUGAGUAACAACACCAAUAUAAUCUGACCCACUUGUUCCCAUCAUUAUUGUGUUUGCCAAUUUUCCUAGGUCAGAUUUGGCUCAGUUUUAUAUGUACAAUGUGUUUUGGUUUAAUUUGAUAUAAUCUAUAACUUGCAGAUGAAUAUUUUAAUUUGUCCUCAGGAAAUGAAGCAGGAGAGUGGAUGCUGACAAAACCUAUACCAGGGUGCUCGUGUUGCUGGCAAGGGACUUGUGCUGUCUUUCAAUGGCAUCUUAGAUGUUGGGCAAAACAGAGGAGUCAGUGAUUUACAGGAAAAUCCCAACAAUCUGCAUGCCUUGCUUUCAAACCAAGUGUGAGAUAUCUGGAACUUUGGCUUUUCGCUAUUCACAGCCCCCAGAUACAAACUUAAAAAAGAUUUCAAGGUGUGGAAACUGAGUAUGGUUUAAAAUCAAUUAGCAGCUGCUGUGUUCUCUGUUGGUUUUUCUACUUCCUUUUUCCCUGUUCUAAAUCACAAUUUGUGUACUCUGAGGCCAGCACUGCUCAGAGCACUCUUUUAGAUAUCUUUAUUAGCUGGGAAAUGCUAUCAAUUGUGUUUUUCUCUUAAACAUCCAGCACUCUCUACUCAGGUUUCUCAAUGGUAAUGAGAUCUACGUGCUCUGCAGUGUUGCAACACCAGAGCUUGGUCAAACAGUUGUUUUGUAAUGUCACAAGAGCAGUGGAAAAUUAAAUGUUUAUUACAGUGAGGCAAUACUAUUAUUCAUAUUGCAGUAGGAUGAGGCAAUGUAAUCCGAUUCUGAUGAAGUCUUAUGGAGUCUAAAAAUAACUCAUCCCCAGUGCAGAAAAAUAUGUUAAAAUAUACAGUCUAUCCCUUAAAUCCACACCAUUAAGUUAAAUUAAUAGAACUUGUAGAGUGCAUGGUUGAAUCCAAGAGGGAUAUAGUGUGAUAGUGUAUAUUUGCCUAAAAGCUCUCUGACAGCAAAAACAAUGUACCACAAUUUGUUUCUUUCUUAUCUAAUGGAAAGAAUAACACACAGAGGCUCAGUUCUUGUAAUAAAAAUUCCCACAUUAAUUUUAUUUUUCAUGUGUCGUAAUUCAAGAGAUGUUUUUCAUCUCAGGAUUGCUAGGGCACAAUAAACCAUUUAAAAAGUAUUUGGCAAAGAUCCCUGUGCUUAGCAACAGCUCCUUUCAUUUAAAACUUUUUUUUUGAACCAAGCUAUUCAAAGCUUUGUUCCACUUAUUAAAAUAAAGUAUCUUACUUCAAACAAGUAUUUCAGAGAACAUAAUCAAGAGGAGAGCAUUCAAAUAUAUUGCACAGAAAACAUAAAAGGUAGCAGCAUGAAAAACUUCAAUACUUUAUGUAUGUUUCCUUGUUUUUCAUUAAGAAAAACUAUAUAAAAAUAUACUCACAACCUUAUUUCUCCUUGUGCUGUUGUGGGAUAGUUAAUAUUACAUUUCUUAUCAAGUUCUAAAAUUCAUUGCUAGAUUUAAAGUAAAAUGAGCUGUGCAGUAUUUUAGUGAAUUUAAUAUUGCAUUAGUGGUGUAUUUUCCAGUCAUCUAGGUGACAUAAGACAGCAAGAGAGGAGCUAAAUACAGAAUAAUAUCUAUUUUUUUGCUGUUGGCUUUGUGCUCUUCUGUGAACUACAGUGUCAAUUCAUGGCACAGUGUCACCAUGGAAUCUCUUUCCAACAAGGUAAAGACAUGCUCAGCUUCAUUGUGUAACUUCAAAUUAAGAAUUUAUUUCAGAUUUUCAUGAAUGCCAUUUUGAUUUAGUUCUGCCUUAAGUUUGUUUGCUUUUGAUACCAGAGGCAUUGCCAAGGCAAUAAUGGCUCCAGGAGCCAUACAAAUGCAGUUUCCCUCCACAAGUGAAGGGAUGUUGUUCCUUCCUUAGUGUUUCCUUUUUCACCUGCACACUUUAGGAAAAUAAGGAUGGAUGCAUCAUGCCAGGAUCCUCUUCUGUGAAGAGAUUGCAAAGUACAGUUUUGUAGGAUGCCAGAUGCUUUUUUACAGUCCUGAGUGCCCAGUUCUCUCUGAAGUUGAGGUUGAGGUCAUGACUAAAGAGGACUGAGCAUAAAGAAUAAUUUUGUUUUGCAGAUUUUGCUGGUUUUAAAAUUUGCUUUGUUUAGAACUGAGAACCCCAGACUUGAAAAAUUUCCCAUCAACAGAAGGCCCUGGAUCUGUGGCUCGGGCUCAAGCUCUGACCUCAUUACUCAGGCUGUGGUUGCAGGGUUACAAUCACAGCCAACAAAACUUCUACCCCACCAUGGGUUCAUAGGAAACUAUCUUGGCCAUUGUAGAUAUAACUGAUAAUAUUGUCAUAAUGCACCAGAAUUUUUGGAGUAAAAGCCUGAAAAGGAGCUUUGAAUAAUGGUAACUCUGCAUAGAUCAUGCUGUAUAACUUUUUCAAGAUGGCAGGGACUGUAAAAUCAAUGCAAUUUUGAUCUCACACUAUGUAGGCAGAAAAAUGGUUAUUUCCAAGAUGUUAAAAAGCUAAUCUAUUCUGUUAAGUUUUUGUAUCUUGCAUAGAUAUAGCUGAUUUCUUUUUUUUUUUUUUUCUUUUAAUUUUACAAACCAAGUUGGGAGUCUUGACAUUUAUUGGGCCCCCAUAUUUUUCAUUUAUAUUCUCUCUAGUCUUCACCAUCUGUUGUGACAGUAAAUAAGUUUCAAAUACGCCAUAUCUUCCUCAACAUGAGUUGCUUUUUCUGCAAAAAAUAAAUUAAAGUUGCAAUUGGAUGUGAUAUUUGAAGUCACAGCUUGUCUUCAAAUAUUUAGUAGUGUAUUCCUGUGCCAAGGGAUAUCAAUCUGCCAUUUGCCUUGCUUACAGAAUAAUAAAGAUUCUCCAAGCCCUUCUUUCAUAGAUAUGUCAAGGCUUUUAAUUACUAUAGCUCAGGAAGUAGCUCUUUCCACCAGCUUUUCCAUUUUGCUUUGGAUUAAUAUGGUUCCUCAUUUUCUUGCACAUAAAAUUCCAAAAGGAGGACGUAGUGUCUGAUUUGGGGGGAUGUGAUCUUCCCUUACAAAUAAAUUCUUUGGCUAUACCAACAGCACUUUUGUUGUUGUAAAAUAUUGACAAUUGAUAGAGAGACGGGAAGACUGAUUCAGUGAUCAGAACUCGAUUUUACUCAGAUUUUCCAAAAGCUUAUAUACCAUUUCAGAAAGGGUAAUAAUUUUCUACUACAAUAAUCAGGCUAAAGAUCAUACAGACAACUCAUACAUUUUACAACAUCUUUUGCUUGCAGAAGUUGAUUGAAUCUCCUCUCUUCCCGUAAGCAGGUUUAAUCCCAUCUUCUGUAAUUUUCACAGUUCUGUUUGUUCCUGCCAUGGCAUCUUGGUUAUCAAACCAGCUAUGCUAAUCAAGUCUGUUUUACUCUUUGUCCCAUGUCCACAGUAAAUGUCGGUGCUUGAUGGAUAUUUCAGAUGUUAGUACAGAAAAAUCAGGAUAUUCUGCAAAGAAAUUGGUUUUUUUAGUUCUGGUAUAGGCGGGCUGAGAGUAAAUUUGAGGUAAGUUCAUUUUUUCUCUUUCCUUUAUGCCAUACAAGAAUACUCCGGUGAGAAGGGAUGAAACUUGGAAGUCACCUUUGUACCAACAUGCCACUUUGCUUUCCAAAUUUAUCUCUUCCCUUGAUUAUGAAUAUUGUGUCACAUGGAGGCAUUUUCCUCAUCCUUUGAGGGCAGUGGUGCAAAAUCAUGGGUUGUUUUCAUUGUUGUCUACUAAACUGCAACCAAACACCCUGAAACUCUCUCAAAGUAGCUCCUCUAAUAAGGAGGAAAUUUCAACUCAUUCCACUCAAAACUGAAAAUAUUGCUAGAACAGCAAACAUUAAUGUUUCUUGUGGAAUGUUUUUUUCUUUUGCAGAUUGACCUGUUCCCCAGGUAACCUCUACCCCAGGAGCGUCCCAGAUAUGUUAGAGGUUUUCUAGGAUAAACCAGGAAUAAUCAGACAGAAAUUUUCCUUGUCCCUUCCACCCAUCACCUGUAAUUCUGUGGCUCCAUCUGGCCUCAUCCCAAAUUAUCUUUUUGCCCCAUCCUUUGAUAUUUCUGAAGGCUGUACAUAUAUUUAGCAGGUUGAUUUUAAAAUCUGCAUCUUUCAUCCGAACAAAUUGGUACUUCCAGAAUGGCACCAAAAAGAAUAUUGUGACUGAACAUCAGCUCUACAACAAAAAAGGAGGUUGACUGCAGUGUGAUUUAUGUGGAAAGACGUAGGCAACUUCUGCAACAGCCAGAGCAUUCAUCAUGCAAAGAGAAUCUGAAGUGCUGAAGGGUUUGUGUAAUAUAUUGCUAUGGAGGAGAGAGAUGGGACAGGAAUUCUCUUCAGGAAAUCCAGAACAAGGGAACAGGGAUGUCAGGCAAGAUCACCAACUCAUGGGAGAGGAACCACCUCGUGUUUGGAUGUUCUCCAGAUGAGCUCCUGAACACACAGGGAGGAACUUUGGAUAUUCUACAGAUGCCACUAGCCAAUGGCUGGAGUGGAAGCCACAAACUGCUGUGGAAACCCCCUGUGGCAGGAGUUCUGAGGAGAUUUUGUUCUCUGGGAUCCAUCUUGUGUUCCAAGUGCAGCCACUUCCCUUGGCCAUUGCAGAGAACGUGGGGGGUCUGCUCUCACUGAACAAAGAUUAUUCUUCAUGAGUAAUUUUCUUGCCUGUCUUUUUUUGGAUAAGAAGCAAUUUUUAAAAUGUGUUGUCAGAAAUCCAUCCCUUAUGCAAUAAAAAACUCAAAAGCUGUGCCUGAUGACAUACAAGAUGUCCAGAUCUGCAUUGGCUCCUUCUCCGCAAUCUGUUUACAAAAGUUAAAAAAUGCAGCAGAAUGAGUUGGUUUGUAAACGUGCUUUUCUGAAUGCUAAAUCAUAUCUGCAAAACUGAAACACUAAAAUUUGUCUUGUUUCACUAAAUGAAAGUGGUCUGAAACAAGCUUAAGUUGAAACAGAAAAUAAAACAAAUAGAACAGAAGAAUAAAUAACACAAAGUUCAUUUCUCUCUCUCCCAAUGGAAAGAAUUGUAUGAAUUGAAUUUAUUUGAGGUUUCUGUGGUAGUUUGUGUAUUUGCAAAAAAAAUCUGAAAAUUAUAUAUAUGUGCAAUUACUAUAAUUUUUUCCAGAAGUAUUCAUCUUAAACUGUCAUGUGGAGUUUUUAAUCUCAUGAAAAUCCCCAUCAAAAUACUUUUUAAUUUACCAAAAUAUUAAUUACUAAUACCUUUUGAAUUUUAAAAAUGUGUAUGCCAGAUGUUUCAAAGUUGUAUUUUGAUCCUGAAUGAGUAAUCUGCCUUUUAGAGAUGUGAUGUGGGUACUGACAAUGGUCUGAAUUGUAGGCUUCAGGCACUGCUAGGGUCUGUGUGAAAGACCAGUGAGCAGCUCUCUCAUAACUGGCCUAGGAAAAUCUCAAAGAAGAACAAUAACAAUCCUUGAGAAGGGAAAACCAUCAGCAAGUAGUGUUUUUCCAACAUGUUUACUGGCAAAAGAUGUUUACAAAAAGGGUGCAGGCUCUAAGGACCAAUCAUAUGAAUUGUACCAAAGUACUAUAUAAAAAGAGAAUUUAGAAGAAUAAAGAUUGCUCUCAUUUCUGCAUCACACCAAGAGUCAAUGUCGUUAUUCCAUGCCAUCCAAAAACCAUAACAACGUGAUGUACCUCAUUUACCAUGGAUUUAAUGUGAGCUAAAAGGCUUAGCACAUCUAAAACUAAUUCAAUAAUUUUAUGCUUCUCUUGAAAUUUCUUUAAGCCUGCAAGGAAUUGGAAGUUCCCAAAAAGUGGUUAGGAAACACUGGAAAAAGAAAUAACUUCUUCUGUCUGAGGUUUUCAAUUGUAUGGAGUCAUAUUUCUGCUCCCUUUAACCACUCUGUUUUAGCCAUGCUAAGAAAGCUAUGAAUUUCUGGAAUUACAUGGCCGCGGAGCUCAGUCUGUCAUUGGCAGUGGAUUUUGGUAGUUCCCUUUGCAGGGCAGUCUUCGUUACCCUCCAGCAUUCUUCACAGAGAACAUCCAGGGACCAAAAUCCGUGCAUCCCCCAGGACACGUGCCAUGGAACCUCUCAGGGUUAACCCCUUGUAAGAGUCGGUCUGAAAAUCCCUCAUCUGCCUCACAACUGUCAGAGGCUGAGACCCCCAUGGACCCUGGGCCACAGCACAAGAGUUCUGGCCUGACCGAGGUGGGACCCAGGUUUCUCCCUGCAGCUGCACCCACUGGACCGAAAUGCCCUCCUCAGAAACCCGUGCAGGAACAAUGGACACUGUCACAGUUCCUGAGCUGUGUUUGCAGAGGCUGUGUUUGCUCUGACUGACUGUGCUGUCCCAGACCUGCUUGUCCCAAACCUGCCUGAUCUGAAUGGUUGCACCUGAUUCCCAGAGCAACAGGCCUCCUCACAAUGACUCUUGGGUCCUCCCCCCAUGUUGGCCGGGUGCCUCCUGCUUCUGAAAUGACUAUAAAAGCUUCCCCCUGAGACUCACACUCUCAGGCCUCCCCGGCGGACGACGGAUCUAUUGACGCGCGCCACGAGGACUGCGAAGGUGGUCUUGGGUUCAGUGUCAUGAGGACUCAUCUGUUCAGUCGCUCCAGUUACUUCUUACCAGCUUUUACAAUCUAAUUACACACUGAUCCACAAGCUAUGGCCUACUCCGAUUGGGAUGAAGCUCACUUUGGGACCCCUGGAACUCCUGUCAUGUAGUCUGACCCUUCUUUCCCCUUCUGACCCCAUUGGCUGUGUGCCAGCUAGCCCCUCCCUCAGAGACCCUAAGAAAAGCCUGUCCCCCGGGAGCUCUCGCUCUCUCUCUCUUGGGACAUCAUCCUGGAAUAAAGACUUGCAGCUAAAAGGGGUAUACUACUGACAGUGAGUCCUGAAGACUUCAGAACAACGCAACGAACUCGGCUGAUGGAGCUGUCCUGACAACCAGUCGUGAGUCACGGGGUGGUGUAAGAGUCGGUCUGAAAAUCCCUCAUCUGCCUCACGACUGUCAGGCUGAGACCCGCAAGGACCCUGGGCCACAGCACAGGAGUUCUGGCCUGACCGAGAUAGGAUCCAAGUUUCUCCCUGCAGCUGCACCCACUGGACCGAAAUGCCCUCCUCAGAAACCCAUGCAGGAACAAUGGACACUGUCACGGUUCCUGAGCUGUGUUUGCAGAGGCUGUGUUUGCUCUGACUGUGCUGUCCCAGACCUGCUUGUCCCAAACCUGCCUGAUCUGAAUGGUUGCACCUGAUUCCCAGAGCAACAGGCCUCCUCACAAUGACUCUUGGGUGCUCUCCCCAUGUUGGCCGGGUGCCCCCCACUUCUGCCUGCAUUGGCCGGGUGCCUCCUGCUUCUGAAAUGACUAUAAAAGCUUCCCCCUGAGACUCACACUCUCAGGCCUCCCCGGCGGACGAUGGAUCUAUUGACGCGCGCCACGAGGACUGCGAAGGUGGUCUUGGGUCCAGUGUCAUGAGGACUCUCGUCUGUUUCAGUCAGUAGCUAUAACCCCCCCUUUCCUCUUUUCUCUCUCUCUCUCUUCUCUUCUAUCGCAUAAUUGUGUGUAUCAAUAAAGAUACAAUUGAUUUUACUUGAA